AGCAAUACAACUGGUGGCGACCGGCGCACGGUGAGUAACGCGUAUGCAACCUACCUAUCAGAGGGGAAGUAACCCGGCGAAAGUCGGACUAAUACCGCAUAAACAGGGGCACCGCAUGGUGAUAUUUGUUAAAGAAAUUCGCUGAUAGAUGGGCAUGCGUUCCAUUAGGUAGUUGGUGAGGUAACGGCUCACCAAGCCGACGAUGGAUAGGGGAACUGAGAGGUUGGUCCCCCACACUGGUACUGAGACACGGACCAGACUCCUACGGGAGGCAGCAGUGAGGAAUAUUGGUCAAUGGGCGGGAGCCUGAACCAGCCAAGUCGCGUGAAGGAAGAAGGAUCUAUGGUUCGUAAACUUCUUUUGCAGGGGAAUAAAGUGCAGGACGUCGUCCUCGUUUUGUAUGUACCCUGAGAAUAAGGAUCGGCUAACUCCGUGCCAGCCGCCGC
rnacentral:rRNA from 1 species